rnacentral:rRNA from 1 species
GACGGGGGAUGCAAGUGUUAUCCGGAAUCACUGGGCGUAAAGCGUCUGCAGGUGGUUUCCUAAGUCCACUGUUAAACCUUGAGGCUCAACCUCAAAUCUGCAUUGGAAACUAGGAGACUUGAGUAUAGUAGGGGUAGAGGGAAUUUCCAGUGGAGCGGUGAAAUGCGCAGAGAUCGGAAAGAACACCAACGGCGAAAGCACUCUGCUGGGCCGACACUGACACUGAGAGACGAAAGCUAGGGGAGCGAAUGGG